GACGAACGCUGGCGGCGUGCUUAACACAUGCAAGUCGAACGGAAAGGCCCUGCUUUUGUGGGGGGCUCGAGUGGCGAACGGGUGAGUAACAAGUGAGUAACCUGCCCUUGACUUUGGGAUAACUUCAGGAAACUGGGGCUAAUACCGGAUAGGAGCUCCUGCUGCAUGGUGGGGGUUGGAAAGUUUCGGCGGUUGGGGAUGGACUCGCGGCUUAUCAGCUUGUUGGUGGGGUAGUGGCUUACCAAGGCUUUGACGGGUAGCCGGCCUGAGAGGGUGACCGGCCACAUUGGGACUGAGAUACGGCCCAGACUCCUACGGGAGGCAGCAGUGGGGAAUAUUGCACAAUGGGCGGAAGCCUGAUGCAGCAACGCCGCGUGCGGGAUAACGGCCUUCGGGUUGUAACCCGCUUUCGCCUGUGACGAAGCGUGAGUGACGGUAAUGGGUAAAGAAGCACCGGCUAACUACGUG
rnacentral:rRNA from 1 species